GACAGAGGGUGCAAACGUUAUUCGGAAUUACUGGGCUUAAAGGGUGCGUAGGCGGCGCAGUAAGUUGGGUGUGAAAUCCCUCGGCUUAACCGAGGAAUUGCGCCCAAAACUACUGUGCUCGAGGGAGAUAGAGGUGAGCGGAACUUAGGGUGGAGCGGUGAAAUGCGUUGAUAUCCUAAGGAACACCGGUGGCGAAAGCGGCUCACUGGAUCUCUUCUGACGCUGAGGCACGAAAGCGUGGGGAGCAAACAGG
rnacentral:rRNA from 1 species